rnacentral:rRNA from 1 species
UGCCAGCCGCCGCGGUAAGACGUAGGGGCCGAGCGUUGUCCGGAGUUACUGGGCGUAAAGCGCGCGCAGGCGGAUGGUCGCAUCGUCGGUGAAAGCCCCCCGCUCAACGGGGGAGGGUCCGGCGAGAUGGGCCAUCUGGAGGCAGGGAGAGGCGAGUGGAAUUCCGGGUGUAGUGGUGAAAUGCGUAGAGAUCCGGAGGAACACCAGUGGCGAAGGCGGCUCGCUGGACCUGACCUGACGCUGAGGCGCGAAGGCGUGGGGAGCAAACAGGAUUAGAUA